AGCAGUUUUGCAUCUACCAACUCUUGGAUGGCCUCUUUCUUCAUGGUGGACAUCCUCCAAGCAGAUGCUUGAUUCGGCGGGGAGGUCUGAUCGGUAGGCCCACAUUUGGGCAUGAUCUGCGGCUCUUUCCCUUUCUUGGACUCCUUCGUCGAACCCUCCGUGGUCUUUCCUUUGGACUUGUCGAUUCUCUUCCCCAUCUUCUUUACACGUAUCACCACGGAGGGCGUAAGGGGAGGAAGAGGAAGCUACUUAAGAUCGCUAGUUUUGGCUAAUGGCGACGGCAGCGCAAGUGGCGGCGUUAGGAUUUUUUCAAGAUAGAGAGUAAACAAAUGGGAAUGGCCGGAAGCGUAAACCAUGGAGGCUACCACCCUUAUCUUUUAUAACAGAGCAACGGAUCUAAAACGGCCCCGAGAUUCUGGUAACGGAGCCGGUAAUUUUGCAACGGUCUGAUGCUCUCAAGAUUUAUGAAGUCCAAUGGUCACGUUGAUCAUGGUUGACCCUUUCAUCGCCUGAAGUGUAGUCGAUCAAAGCGCUCAGGGGCUG
rnacentral:lncRNA from 1 species